UCUUUCACAAAAGUAUUCUCCACAAAUUUUAACAUAAAAUUUUAAAUUUCACCAUAAAAUUUUAAAUUUCAAAUUUUAAAAUUUUAAAAUUCAUUUUUAAUUUUGAUUUCAAAUUUCAAAUUUUAAAUUUCAAAUUCCAAAUUUCAAAUUUCAAAUUUAAAACAUAAAAUCUAAUUUAAUUUUUUAAUUUUAAAUUUUAAAUUUUAAUUUUAUAUUUUGAAUUUUGAAUUUUGAAUUUUAAUUUUUAAAAUUUUAUUUUUAAAUUUUGAAUUUUGAAUUUUGAAUUUUGAAUUUUGAAUUUUGAAUUUUAAAAUUUUAGAAAUUUAAUUGUUAUAAAUCCUGUGGAAUUGUAUGAUAUGUAUCCAAACAGCUUAAAAAUGAAGCUGUGAAAUUUUUUUGUAGUUACAGGAUUCCGUAUUUCAUUUAGACUAAAAUCAUAGAAUAAAAAUUUCAUGGAGUUUUUUAACUAUACAACCAAACAGGGCCUUAAUGGGUUAGGCUAAAUCCAAAUCG
rnacentral:lncRNA from 1 species